GACGAACGCUGGCGGCGUGCUUAACACAUGCAAGUCGAACGGUAAGGCCCUUCGGGGUACACGAGUGGCGAACGGGUGAGUAACACGUGGGUGAUCUGCCCUGCACUUCGGGAUAAGCCUGGGAAACUGGGUCUAAUACCGGAUAGGACCACUGCCUGCAUGGGUGGUGGUGGAAAGCUUUUGCGGUGUGGGAUGGGCCCGCGGCCUAUCAGCUUGUUGGUGGGGUGAUGGCCUACCAAGGCGACGACGGGUAGCCGGCCUGGGAGGGUGACCGGCCACACUGGGGCUGAGAUACGGCCCAGACUCCUACGGGAGGCAGCAGUGGGGAAUAUUGCACAAUGGGCGCAAGCCUGAUGCAGCGACGCCGCGUGAGGGAUGACGGCCUUCGGGUUGUAAACCUCUUUCAGCACCGACGAAGCGCAAGUGACGGUAGGUGCAGAAGAAGGACCGGCCAACUACGUGCCAGCCGCCGCGGUAA
rnacentral:rRNA from 1 species